GCUUUGAUGGUGAAAUGGUAGACACGCGAGACUCAAAAUCGCGUGCUAAAGAGCGUGAAGGUUCGAGUCCUCUUCAAGGCA
rnacentral:tRNA from 1 species